GUGGGGAAUCUUCCACAAUGGACGAAAGUCUGAUGGAGCAACGCCGCGUGAGUGAAGAAGGGUUUCGGCUCGUAAAGCUCUGUUGUCGGGGACGAAUGUGCAGUAUUUGAAUAAAGUACUGCAAUGACGGUACCUGACGAGGAAGCCACGGCUAACUACGUGCCAGCAGCCGCGGUAAUACGUAGGUGGCAAGCGUUGUCCGGAAUUAUUGGGCGUAAAGGGAGCGCAGGCGGGAAGGUAAGUCGAUCUUAAAAGUGCGGGGCUCACACCCGUGAUGGGAUCGAAACUAUCUUUCUUGAGUGCAGGAGAGGAAAGUGGAAUUCCUAGUGUAGCGGUGAAAUGCGUAGAUAUUAGGAGGAACACCAGUGGCGAAGGCGACUUUCUGGACUGUAACUGACGCUGAGGCUCGAAAGCCAGGGGAGCGAACGGGAUUAGAAACCCGUGUAGUCC
rnacentral:rRNA from 1 species